rnacentral:rRNA from 1 species
ACCUGGCUCAGAUUGAACGCUGGCGGCAGGCUUAACACAUGCAAGUCGAGCGGGGGAAGGUAGCUUGCUACUGGACCUAGCGGCGGACGGGUGAGUAAUGCUUAGGAAUCUGCCUAUUAGUGGGGGRCAACAUCUCGAAAGGGAUGCUAAUACCGCAUACGUCCUACGGGAGAAAGCAGGGGAUCUUCGGACCUUGCGCUAAUAGAUGAGCCUAAGUCGGAUUAGCUAGUUGGUGGGGUAAAGGCCUACCAAGGCGACGAUCUGUAGCGGGUCUGAGAGGAUGAUCCGCCACACUGGGACUGAGACACGGCCCAGACUCCUACGGGAGGCAGCAGUGGGGAAUAUUGGACAAUGGGGGGAACCCUGAUCCAGCCAUGCCGCGUGUGUGAAGAAGGCCUUAUGGUUGUAAAGCACUUUAAGCGAGGAGGAGGCUACUYUAGUUAAUACCUAGAGAUAGUGGACGUUACUCGCAGAAUAAGCACCGGCUAACUCUGUGCCAGCAGCCGCGGUAAUACAGAGGGUGCGAGCGUUAAUCGGAUUUACUGGGCGUAAAGCGUGCGUAGGCGGCUUAUUAAGUCGGAUGUGAAAUCCCCGAGCUUAACUUGGGAAUUGCAUUCGAUACUGGUGAGCUAGAGUAUGGGAGAGGAUGGUAGAAUUCCAGGUGUAGCGGUGAAAUGCGUAGAGAUCUGGAGGAAUACCGAUGGCGAAGGCAGCCAUCUGGCCUAAUACUGACGCUGAGGUACGAAAGCAUGGGGAGCAAACAGGAUUAGAUACCCUGGUAGUCCAUGCCGUAAACGAUGUCUACUAGCCGUUGGGGCCUUUGAGGCUUUAGUGGCGCAGCUAACGCGAUAAGUAGACCGCCUGGGGAGUACGGUCGCAAGACUAAAACUCAAAUGAAUUGACGGGGGCCCGCACAAGCGGUGGAGCAUGUGGUUUAAUUCGAUGCAACGCGAAGAACCUUACCUGGCCUUGACAUACUAGAAACUUUCCAGAGAUGGAUUGGUGCCUUCGGGAAUCUAGAUACAGGUGCUGCAUG